AAUGUACUCCCUCUGUCCGGAAAUACUUGUCCGAGGAAUGAAUGUAUUUAGAUGUAUUUUAGUUCUAAUUACAUCCAUUUAUAUCCAUUUCUACGACAAGUAUUUCCGGACGGAGGGAGUAGUUA
rfam:Triticum aestivum genome assembly, contig: Triticum_aestivum_CS42_TGACv1_scaffold_221518_3B